rfam:Salmo salar isolate Sally breed double haploid chromosome ssa01, whole genome shotgun sequence.
CUCCCUGUGGCUCAGUUGGUAGAGCAUGGUGUUUGCAACGCCAGCAUGGUGUGUGCAACGCCAGGGGUGUGGGUUCGAUUCCCACGGGGGGC